AUGCGGCUGCCGCGGCGAGGCGCCCGCCCGGGUCUCGCCCUUCUCGCGCUCGCCCUCGCCCUCGCGGCCCGCGGCGCGGACGCGUCCAUCCACGAGUACUCCGGUGGCGGCUUUGCGCCGCGCGCCAACUCAUUCUUCUUCCACGGCGGCAGCGAGGGCCUCUACGCUUCCGAAUCCUCCUCAAACUCCUCCAACUCCUUCAUCAGGUUUGACAUUGUUACAUUUCGACGGUCCCAGGAGUCAGCAACUAGACAUGAAGAAAUGCAGCAAAAGACAGGAUUAGUAGAGGCUAUUAUUGUUGAGAUCCAGGACAGAGACAAAAUCGGGGGUUCUUACUUGCACUCUGAUGCAAUAUGCUGCACCCCUGAGCUUGACAAGGAGAAGUCCUGUAAAGUAGGUGAAGUUAUUAUACGGCCAAAUCCUGAUAAUCCAGACUGGCCAAAAAGAAUUCAGACAUUCUUUGAUGGUAAAAAUGAAGAAACUACCAUGGGAACACAGAGUGUCUCUAUAAACAAAACAGGGAUGUACUAUCUCUACUUUAUGUUCUGUGAUCCUCAACUCCGGGGAUUGAAGAUUACAGGCAGGACAGUUUGGCGGAAUCCUCAUGGUUAUAUCCCUGGAAAAAUGGCCCCGAUGAUGACAUUUUUUGGUUUCAUGUCACUUGCGUAUCUUGCACUUGGGCUUCUAUGGUUUCUUCAGUUUGUGAGAUGUUGGAAGGAUAUUUUGCAGCUGCAUUACCAUAUAACAGCUGUUAUUGCACUUGGUAUGUGCGAAAUGGCUUUCUGGUACUUUGAGUAUGCUAACUUCAAUUCAACUGGGACCAGACCUAUGGGCAUAACCUUGUGGGCGGUUACAUUUACUGCUGUGAAGAAGACUGUGUCUCGCCUUCUUCUGUUAGUAGUUUCAAUGGGCUAUGGUGUUGUUCGACCCACAUUGGGUGGGAUUACAUACAGGGUUGCUGCCCUUGCUAUCAUCUAUUUUACUGCCUCAGAAGCCCUUGAACUUGUUGAAAAUCUGGGAAACAUCAAUGACUUCUCUGGCAAAACGAGAUUAUUUCUAGUGUUGCCUGUUGCCAUACUUGAUGCUACCUUCAUCAUCUGGAUAUUUUCAUCCCUCUCUAGAACUCUGGAGAAACUGCAGCUGCGGAGAAGCAUGGCGAAACUUGAAUUGUAUCGGAAGUUUACAAAUUCUCUAGCUAUGUCAGUGGUUAUCUCAAUUGCUUGGAUUGGCUAUGAGCUAUAUUUCAAUGCAACCGAUCCAUUGAGUGAGCUUUGGCGAAGGGCUUGGGUCAUCCCUGCCUUCUGGAGUGUCCUCUCAUAUGUCCUUCUUGCCAUCAUAUGCGCCCUUUGGUCACCAUCUCGUAAUCCAACAGGAUUUGCAUAUUCAGAGGAGACAGGUGAUGAGGCUGACGAGGAAGGACUCUCUCUUGUAGGCAGUGCUGUUAAAGGAACAGGAGAUAUUGUGAACAUGCAUGUGUUUACUGAGGAUAAACGUGCAUGA
rnacentral:rRNA from 1 species